rnacentral:rRNA from 1 species
AAUAGAUACCCGGUAGUCCACGCCGUAACGANGAGUGCUAGUGUUAGAGGGUUUCGCCUUUAGUGCUGCAGCUAACGCAUUAAGCACUCCGCCGUGGGGAGUACGGUCGCAAGACUGAAACUCAAAGGAAUUGGACGGGGGCCCGCACAAGCGGUGGAGCAUGUGGUUUAAUUCGAAGCAACGCGAAGAACCUUACCAGGUCUUGACAUCCUCUGACAACUCUAGAGAUAGAGCGUUCCCGUUCGGGGACAGAGUGACAGGUGGUGCAUGGUUGUCGUCAGCUCGUGUCGUGAGAUGUUGGGUUAAGUCCGC